AAGAAUAAUUUCUACCCUGUGACUUCGCCAGCCAACAAAAGCCACGUUUCCUGCAGCUCUGUAGUCUCUAGCUCUGAGGGGCAUCUCAACUACCUCAACUUUAAUGAGUCACCUGAACAUCUAGAAUUGACUAUGCUAUCCUUUAUCCUGCAGAAAAGGUAGAACUAGUUGAAGAAACUUACCUGCUGAAGGUCUGCGAGAGAAUAAAGAUGGAUUUGCUGGAGAAGAUACUCUCUGGGAAAAAU
rnacentral:lncRNA from 1 species